rnacentral:tRNA from 1 species
GGAGAGAUGGCUUAGUGUUCAAGAGCACUGACUUCUCUUCCAGAAGACCUGGGUUUGAUUCCCAGUAUCUACA